UAAUAAUUCUUAUAUGAUUUGCAUAUCUAUGAAUACUUGAAUUGCAUUGGUCAAUUCGAAUUUUUCUCUUGGUUAACACUUCGAUAAACCAUGUUUCCGAAACUACUUUCGUAAUCUAUUCAUGCGCGAUACACAUCCUUGCAGGGAUACUUUGAUUUUCAGCAAAUUGAGAUUAAAAAACAAAUGCAUAAUAGUUGUUUCUAUUCUAAUGCGUAUAAAACAAAAAAAAAUGAAUAAAAUAAAUAAAUCCACUAGCUUCGAAAAUGUAUAAAAAUAAAAUUUAAAUAAAUUCCGCG
rnacentral:lncRNA from 1 species